GUGUCUGAAUCCUCUUUAGUCUGUCUAGGAAAUUUAGUUUUUAGUCUCUUUAAAUAAUAACAAACCUUUCAGCAGGAAACUUGGAAACGGCAUCAGUCCAGAAUCAUUGAAAUGAUGAAAGUCAUGAGACAACGGUCAAACUGCAACAAGUGGCAGGGUUGGAGAUGCUGCUAAAUUUCCCCUACCCGGAUUGAGAAAUCAUCACGUUAUCGGCACUAUCGUUACGACUGCAGUCGGAGAUCUAACAGUUUGCAGCGUGGAUGGCAGCGUGUUGAGAGCGGGGCAGGGAAACUGUUAGCUGAGCGCUAUCGCAGGGGAUCAGCAGUUUCAGGGAUUUCAUAAAUGAUUAUCUCAUUUGAG